rnacentral:rRNA from 1 species
UGCCCCAGUAACGGCGAGUGAAGCGGCAACAGCUCAAAUUUGAAAUCUGGCCCCUCGGGGUCCGAGUUGUAAUUUGUAGAGGAUGCUUUUGGUGAGGUGCCGCCCGAGUUCCCUGGAACGGGACGCCACAGAGGGUGAGAGCCCCGUCUGGCUGGCCACCGAGCCUCUGUAAAGCUCCUUCGACGAGUCGAGUAGUUUGGGAAUGCUGCUCAAAAUGGGAGGUAUAUGUCUUCUAAAGCUAAAUAUUGGCCAGAGACCGAUAGCGCACAAGUAGAGUGAUCGAAAGAUGAAAAGCACCUUGAAAAGAGGGUUAAAUAGUACGUGAAAUUGUUGAAAGGGAAGCGCUUGUGACCAGACUUGGGCGCGGCGGAUCAUCCGGGGUUCUCUCCGGUGCACUUCGCCGCGUCUAGGCCAGCAUCAGUUCGCCGCGGGGGAAAAAGGCUUCGGGAACGUGGCUCCUCCGGGAGUGUUAUAGCCCGUUGCAUAAUACCCUGCGGUGGACUGAGGACCGCGCAUCUGCAAGGAUGCUGGCGUAAUGGUCACCAGCGA